GUUAGGAAUAUUGGACAAUGGGCGCAAGCCUAAUCCAGCCAUGCCGCGUGAGUGAUGAAGGCCUUCGGGUUGUAAAGCUCUUUAGUCCACGAAUAUAAUGACUGUAGUGGAAGAAUAAGCCCCGGCUAACUUCGUGCCAGCAGCCGCGGUAAUACGAAGGGGGCGAGCGUUAUUCGGAAUCACUGGGCGUAAAGCGUGCGUAGGCUGUUUUGUAAGUCAGAAGUGAAAGCCCAGGGCUUAACCCUGGAAUUGCUUUUGAAACUACAAGACUCGAAUUCGGGAGAGGAUAGCGGAAUUGUCAGUGUAGCAGUGAAAUGCGUAGAUAUUGACAGGAACACCAGUGGCGCAAGCGGCUAUCUGGACCGAUAUUGACGCUGAGGCACGAAAGCGUGGGGAGCAAACAGGAUUAGAUACCCGGGUAGUCC
rnacentral:rRNA from 1 species